UGGGGAAUUUUCCGCAAUGGGCGCAAGCCUGACGGAGCAAUACCGCGUGAGGGAGGAAGGCUUUUGGGUUGUAAACCUCUUUUGUUAAGGAACAAAAAGAUCAUGCGUGGUCAAUUGAGUGUACUUAAGGAAUAAGCACCGGCUAACUCCGUGCCAGCAGCCGCGGUAAUACGGAGGGUGCGAGCGUUGUCCGGAUUUAUUGGGUUUAAAGGGUGCGUAGGCGGUCGAUUAAGUCAGUGGUGAAAUCCUACAGCUCAACUGUGGAACUGCCAUUGAUACUGGUUGACUUGAGUAUUGUUGAGGUAGGCGGAAUUUAUGGUGUAGCGGUGAAAUGCAUAGAUACCAUAAAGAACACCGAUAGCGAAGGCAGCUUACUAGACAGUAACUGACGCUGAGGCACGAAAGCGUGGGGAGCGAACGGGAUUAGAUACCCGCGUAGUCC
rnacentral:rRNA from 1 species